GAAAUGCGAUAAGUAAUGUGAAUUGCAGAAUUCAGUGAAUCAUCGAAUCUUUGAACGCACAUUGCGCCCGCCAGUAUUCUGGCGGGCAUGCCUGUCCGAGCGUCAUUUCAACCAUCAAGCCCCCGGGCUUGUGUUGGGGACCUGCGGCUGCCCGCAGGCCCUGAAAACCAGUGGCGGGCUCGCUGUCACACCGAGCGUAGUAGCAAUCACCUCGCUCAGGGCGUGCUGCGGGUUCCGGCCGUUAAACAGCCUUACAAAACCCAAGGUUGACCUCGGAUCAGGUAGGAAGACCCGCUGAACUUAAGC
rnacentral:misc_RNA from 1 species